rnacentral:rRNA from 1 species
CACGUAGGCACCAAGCGUUGUCCGGAUUUAUUGGGCGUAAAGAGCUCGUAGGUGGUUCGGUAAGUCGGGUGUGAAAACUCUGGGCUCAACCCAGAGCCGCCACCCGAUACUGCUGUGACUUGAGUUCGGUAGGGGAGCGGGGAAUUCCUGGUGUAGCGGUGAAAUGCGCAGAUAUCAGGAGGAACACCAGUGGCGAAGGCGCCGCUCUGGGCCGACACUGACGCUGAGGAGCGAAAGCGUGGGUAGCAAACAGG